UAAGAAAGAAAAGGGAAAAGGAUGCCGCGCCGGAAGCCGCGGCGAGGAUUCCUUAUGAUGCUUGUGCGCGUCCCCGAGGCCCAUCGGUCCUUCAUCCAAGAACCGAUAAACGCGGUGACCGACGCCUUCACGGCAUUAAUGAUUAAUUUUAUAAUCCAGUCUGGUAGUUUUAAGAAGCGAGUUCUUGCAUCCGCCCUAUUCGAAUCGGCGGGGCGGUGGAGCGCCAGUGAGCCCAAGGUCUCCCAGGCGAGCAUGGCAGGACUGGAGGGCUCCCGGCAGGGCGCCUCGGCGUCCAUCGGGACCCCGACGGAGGUGCCGGAGAUCUUUCGGCUACAACGCCGGGCAGGUGGGGCUCGUUAGCCGUGGUAGGCAAUCUGCCUAGGAGAGCAAACUCCGAACAACAAACCCGGGCAGGUGAGGUUCGUUAGCCGUGGUAGGCAAUUCACCUAGGAGAGCAAACUCCGAACAACAAACCCGGGCAGGUGAGGUUCGUUAGCCGUGGUAGGCAAUUCACCUAGGAGAGCAAACUCCGAACAAUAAACCCGGGCAGGUUGGGCUCGUGAGCCGUCAUAGGUAAUACACCUAGGAGAGCAAACUCCGAACAAUAAACCCGGGCAGGAUGGGCUCGUGAGCCGUCAUAGGUAAUACACCUAGGAGAGCAAACUCCGAUCAUAAAACCCGGGCAGGUUGGGCUCGUGAGCCGUCAUAGGUAAUACACCUAGGAGAGCAAACUCCGAACAAUAAACCCGGGCAGGUGGAGCUCGUCAGCCGUGGUAGGCAGUCUGCCUAGGAGAGCAAACUCCGAACAAUAAACCCGGGCAGGUGGAGCUCGUCAGCCGUGGUAGGCAGUCUGCCUAGGAGAGCAAACUCCGAACAAUAAACCGGGGCUUGUGGUCCUCGUUAGAUGUCGUAGACAAUCCACGUGAUGGGAACACCAUAGAAAAGGAAAAUAAAAAGGAACACCAGAAAAAGGAAAAUAUAGUUACAAAACAUCAAGAAAAGAAAAGAAAAAACACAGAUCAUCCACCUUCAGGCCCUAACAUCUCCAAAAUUAUGGAUGAGUCUUUUCUGGGGAGAAAGAGGCUCAUCCAGACCAAAGAACAUCAAAAAGGGAUGAUAUAGAAAAGAACACCAAAAAAAUGGGAAAAAGAGAAAAAACAUCGCAAAAGAAAAGUAACAGCAAUAACAGAACAACAUCAAGAAAAGUAACAUACAAAGAAACAUCAUCCACCAUUCGGCCCCAAACUAACAUCACCAAAAUUAUGGGUGGGUCUCUUCUGGGGAGAAAGCGGCUCAUCCAGACCAACUAAGAACAUCAACAAGAGGAUGAUAUGAAAUACAAGAACAUUAAAAACACGAAGAAAAGAAAUAAGAAGAAAAAGAACAGGAAAAAACAUCGGAAAAGAAAAACAAGAAGAAAAACACAUCAAGAGAAGAAAAAUAUAAGAAACAUCAUCCACCUUUCGGCCCCUAACUAACAUCACCAAAAUUAUGGGUGGGUCUCUUCUGGGAGGAAAGCGGCUCACCCAGACCAAUGAACAUCAACAAGAGGAUGAUAUGAAAUAAAAGAACAUCAAAAAAGAAAAACAACAGCAAGAAAACAAAGAAAAAGAUAAAGAAAAGAAAAGGAAAAAGAAACAAAAAGAAAAAGAAAAACACCAAAAUAAAAUAAAACAAAAACAAAAAAAUAAUCCAAAUAAAUAAAUAAAUAAACAAAUACAGAA